CUUGCUCUACCAUUUCAUCUUUCUCUUUAGGAACCUGAAAAUCCGAAGUAUAGCAGAGUUGGUCCUUAUAAAACUAAACAUAACCAUCCAUGAAAACACAAAUGCUCUAUAGUUUAUAAAGGUCAAAAUAUGUAUCUCAAAGGGGAAACCUUUGAGCACAAUGAUUCAAAUUUUCUUUUCUAUGAAGUGGUCAGAUCCAUUUAAAUGAGAUAUGAAAUGUUUGGGCCCUGACAAUUUCCUCUUCUUCUCCCACUACUGCCGUCAGAGCUGGGACUCCACCUCUAUUAACAGCCACAAGAUUUACACUGGUGCUAACUGAAGUCACAUGGAGCACAAGUGGCACUGAGCUGACAUGCAUUAAGUUGAGCUGGCUGACAUGCAAACAACACACUAGAAAAGUCCCAGAGAACAAAAACCAUGUCAACAAACCUGAGGACCUUCCAAGAAUAAGGGCAGGAUGGGAAAAUAAGAAGCCCAAGGUAUCUGGCUUCCCCUCAAAGAUGAAUCUCAGGUGGGAAGAGGGAAAAGAGAAAUGAAAUUCAUGGCUACUAAUAAGAACACACUAGCACUUUUAUUCUUUUGCACAGUAAUAAUAUUUUAUGGCACCAAUAAGUUCAGAAUUGAAUGUACAAAGCUCUUAAGAGAGUCUAUGAGUAAAUGAAGGACCAGAAGGUCUGGCUCCUCAUUGAUGUGGAUGAAGCAAACAGAUUGCAAAGCAGGUCAUCAAGCUGGAAGACCAUGAUCCUAAGCCAUGCUGUGUCCCUGCCUAUUGAUAACAUCAGUUAGUUUACAAACACCCCUCUGCUACUGCUUAAUUCAGCCCCAAAGUAAACUGUAUCUGCAAUCCUAUUGUUGAAUUGAUGGCAGAAGUGAGAGAAAGAAAAAAUAUGUUUAAGGCAAGCAUUACUUGUUAUAAGCUGGGCUGAUAUCAGCAGGGAAAUGUGAUUCAAAAUACAGAAUUUCAUUAUACAGUCAACCUAAAACUGGUAACACAAAAAUAAAACAUUGAAGCAAAUUCUAGUAAACACUAAGACUCAGGAGGAGCGACCUUUUACAAUCAGAGGUAACUGACUGUUGACAAGACCAUCCCAGUAAGAUUCUACCUCUCAUUUGAAACUCCACAGUUUUUCCACUUCCCAACCCAACAGACGAUUUUGAACCCUGGCCUCUGCUCCUUCACUGAUAACACAAGUAACACUACGAGAUGAGCCAGUGUGUGGCAGAAAGAAUCUGGCAAGAAGGGCAAUCUGCCCCCAAAAAGAAAGAGGACUGCAACUCUCCUUUGAACUGUAAAUAUGACAGAUACCAUAACUGAUUUAAAAAUCAUAUUCAAACAGUAAGUUCCCAAAGACUAUACAUGGGAGGGAUCAGGGUAUCUUUAUAAUUAAAGAAUUACCCUUAGCCUAAAGAAAAUCUAAAUCUCUAAAAAUAUUCUGGUUUGUGUUAAAUGAGGCAGAGAAUCAGGCUUCAGAUACUUGGUGCCAUUUAUAUCAGGAAGGUACCUAAGACUGGUAGAUCAAAAACCUGUGAUCUACUACUCAUUCAACUCAAUGGCCAAAAAAAGAGCUUGUUCUUAUUACACAGCUAUGAGAGCUGAUGGAAGAGACCCUUUGGUCAGGAAUUUCAUUUACUUUCUCAGCUACUUUUCCUCACUGAUGUGAUAUGUGAUGGUCAUAUGCAGAGCAACUCAAACAAUGCUGAAAUUUUGCUCAGAAACAUGCUACUUCUAGUGCAAAUCCUGCAAUGAUGCUACAAAAGAUGGUUCUGGAAAUCUAAAUUUGGUUUUUCUUUCAAAAAGGAGAAACAAUUACAUUUCAAUGUGAAAUCUAGGUAGUUAUGAGACCUUAACUGAUCACAGAUGCAAUGCGCCUGACUGCUUUUCCUGGAGUAUAAAAGUGAUAUUUCUAUGUGUUGCUUCUAAAAUGCCUAGCAAGAGGAUGCUAUAGCAGCCAAGAGGGACUACUAGAUCACAUAUGCCUCUACAAUAGGGCAGAAUGUGUCAAACACAAGUGUGCAAAUGGUACAGAUUAAAGCUCUUCCAGUGUCAACUGGAUGGCUUGCUUCAGACAAGCUUUAAUCUUUGCAACUAGGAUGACAAUCACAAAGGGAAGUUCAUACUGAAAAAGUACACAGCACUCAGGCUCAGUAACUGGGGUCCAGGGUGUGUGGUAGAGAAAUAUUUAAAGGGACACUGUCAAGGUUAGAGGGACCAAAUUUGACCUGUUUCUUCCCUCUGUUUGCUGAGCAGCCCACUGGAUUCAUUACACUUUCCCCCUUAGUCCACCCACACCACCCACAAAAAACCUAAUGUUUUACACGUGCUUUCAAUGACAAAAACUCAAAUGGCACCAGCCCAACAUAUAGGCGCAACUCUACAACAACAAACCAGUGUGAAUGUAUGAUGGAGAGGAUCUUUGAAAGGAAAAGAUUUAGGUUUCAAGCUUUUAAUGGGUUAUUGUAAACAGUGAGGAAAAUGAUUUGAAAAAUUAUGAAAAAAAUACCUUGACAGUGUCCUUUUAACCAGUGCAGCAGAGAGAGAAAUAAACUGUAAAUAACAGCCCAACAGCCACAUCAAGUUUAGUUUUGUAUGACAGCAAUAAAAUCAAGGCUUUAAACACAUAGCAUGACAGAAGCAUUCUGUUAGCUCAGAAGCUGCAACCACCAGAGAAAUAAGGAACAGAUUGUACAGAGACCAAAUGGGAAAGUCAAGGCACAGAAAUGGCCAAAAGAAAGGCAGUUAACAAAAGACAGGGGAGUGAGGGGGAAGUGUCAGAAAGCAGUGAGGAAUAAAGCAAAACUCAAAAGAGGAAAGGAAAAACACAGAACAGUAACAACAACAACAACAACAACAACAAAAUCAAACAAACAAAAACCAAACCAAAAGAUUGCUGCCACAUUUGACUGACACCAGAUGACAGGACUGCAUCUCCGGUACACCAUUCUAACCCGAGGCUCAGUUGUAUGAGAUUAUGUGAGAUUGUCAGCCACCAGGCCCCAUCCAUUUCCACCUAGUUAAGCAAUUACAGGAAUGUUGCAAGUGCAGCCAGGGAUAGCUUUGAAACCUGGCUUUUUUUCCCCACUAACAUUAAGAUUUCACUUUGAAAUUAAAGGAAUAUUUGGAAAAUAAUACAUAAAAUACUUGUCCCUUAGGAAAUCAAUACUGACUGGGAGAAAACCAAAAUGUGCUUUUUAAUACCUUUAAAACAGGAUCAUUUCUAAAAACAAGCUAGUUAGAAAUAUUCUAUUUGACAUAUCCAGACAAUAAAACUAACAAAUGACUAUCCCAACAACCCCAAACUACCCAUACUUUAAGUCAUUUAUUUCCCCUUGAUGAGAAUCCUUGGAUUCUAUUAGUUCUACAAAUUAUUAUGGAACAAUAACAACAAAAUGGAAUUGAAAUAUUGGCAAUCGCUAAACAUAGGUCACAAUAAUUUAAAUCUUACCUGACUAUUCUAAUCUAGAUCCUUAACUUGUAUCCUGAGAAAGAAACUCAACGAAUGAUUACAAUGGGUUUUAAGUACCACAUUAGAAGGCAGGUGGAUUUCUACCCUGCAACACAGUGAGAACUUGUAACAGCAAACUAAGAAACAUUUUUGGGGAAAGGACCAAUAAUGUUAAGAGCGUUCUAAGAAGCAAACAAAAUGGACAUCACUUUAAACAGAUUUUGAUUGACUUUUUGAAGCCAUUUAUUUCUCUAUGAAAGGCUCCAGGUAAAUAGUUCCUUCAAGACUAACAGGAUUUGAAGAGUCUCACUAUUCCAAAUAGGUUCAAUCCUGAUUGUCUUGGUCCUGUAGAUUAUAUGGACUGUCUCUAAAUGUGUCCAGGGGAAGGGAAGCCUGUGUGUCUCGCCCAUGCAGAAUGUGGGAAAGCCAAACAACUUUCUGGACAAGGUCCCCAAUCCUGCAAGAAGUAAUCUCGAAGGAGGACAGCUCUCUUUAGUUCUUUCUACCUCUGGUAUCAUUCUAACAAGCUCUUUAGGUCUUCAGAAACAUUGUACACCUAUCUUACUUCCAGUCUUCACAAACUCUACAGCAGCAGAGCAGAAUGGAGUUAAAUGCAGCAAUGUACGCUAGGUAAUCAAAGUUCUGAGAUUUAGCCAGAGAAAUCCCCAGAAAGAAUCAGAAAAAGGCAGUAAUGGCCAAAUCUGGCCAGUGGAGGCCACAGUCAAUCUCCACCUCCCCAUCCCAUGCCAUCGAGCACUUCUAGAAUUAUGGUAAAGCAGAAGAUUAAGAUUAGUUCAUUUGGUAAAACCUAGAAGAAGAAAUUUACUUCUGAAGAGUCUCUAAUUCAGAUUCUCCUCAACAGCCAAGGGAAAUGAGAUAUAGCUAUUAUCCCCAUAGGGCGAAUAUAUCCUUAAUCCAAAUAAAAUUCAAUGUGAUUCUAGGCUGGGAGCAGUGGCUCACAUCUAUAAAUCCCAGCACUGUGGGAGGCUGAAGCAGGAGGAUCACUUGAGCCCAGGAGUUUGAGACCAGCCUGGGCAAUAUAGUGAGACUCCAUUUCUACAAAAAAUUAUUUUAAAUUAGCCAGGUGUAGGGGUGUGUGCCUGUGGUCCCAGCUACUCACGAGGCUGAGGGGGAGAAUCACUUUAGCCCAGGAGGGCAAGGCAACAGUGAGCCAUGUUUGUGCCACUGCACUUCAGCCUGGGCAACACUGCAAGAUCUGUCUCCAAAAACAAAAAUAAUCAAUGUGAUUCUAUAGAGACUGUUGUCUUCCCCCCACUCCCACCCCAUAAGGAAUCUUUUUGACUUCCUUAAAGCAGUGAUUAGAGUGUAUGGAAAAGGCACACACAACAUGUCUAAGUAGUUCUCUCUAGCAGUUUUUAGCAUAUAGUAGAGGUGCCCAGUAAAUUCUUGUUAAAUGAAUAAAUUAAUAUAGUUUGGAAAAGCAAAGUCAGUAUUAUAACUAUAAUUAAGGGGGCAAAAACUAUUUGCAACUUCAGGACCAUUAAAGGAAGGCAUGAGAUUUUUACAUUUAUAAAUAAGCAUGGAUUGGCAGUAAUGAUUUCAAAGGGCAGAGAAAGACUGUCAUAAAGAUAUUGAAGAUGUUUGUUCAAAGGAAGAAAACCAAGAAGGCCAACAGACCUGUGUCAAAAGCAUACUAACCUAAGCACCACUGUAUAAGAACACAAAUGAAAACCGGCAAAGUUACGAUAGAUACCUAAUACACCUAUAGUUAACGGUGUUUGUAAGAGACCUGACACCCAUUACUUUUCACAUGCUGUCUGUCAUUCUUUCUCUUAACAGCUGAACCAUUCUCAAGAAGCAAUCAAGGCUCAGUUUCUCAAAGCAGUUACUGGAACCUGUGGAUCUCAGCUGGUACACACACACACACACACACACACCCACACACACCCACCCCACACCACACCCCCCCCCCAAUGCUACAGCACUGUGGGAAUUUGAUUAAGAUACCCUUUCAUUACUCCAAAAAAAGAAAAAAAAAAAGUAAAGCCCAUGAGUUACUGCCUGAUGUACAGGAGAUGCAGAAAAUAUUCAGAGCCAUUUCCUCUGUCUCCCCCACCAAUUGUGCUUUCAGUCCCCUCAGCAGAGACCAGCAAAAUGUUCCCUGAAAUAUGAAUUACCCUAUUUCCCAACCUUCCGCAUGUCCAAUUAAAGCUAUUACUGAUGACAGCAUAGGUCAGAGUAUAACUCCAUCACCAAUCAACUGAAGGCAGCUGCUAUACUAGCUCUGACUGUUUUAUAGGCUUAAGGUAGUGGAGAUCCCUUCUAUUUAGAGGGAUAUGCUUAGUAUCCCUAUAUUAUAUCUUUAUAUUAUAUCUCUCAUAUUAAUAUCUUUACUAAGGAAGACUUUGUUGUGGUCAUCCAAAGCCAUAAAAUAAACGUCCCUUGUCAAAAACAAGCACAGAAACUCAAUAUACUAGCUACAAAUGUAGGAGAGAGAACAGAGAGGUAAACUUUUUGAGGGAUUCUUGUGAUUGUGAUUAAAACAAUGACAUAAAAUAAAAAUCACUUGCUACAUGAUUUCUUUUCCUACAGCAGCAAAAUGUCUGGGUAUGGAGAUAUGUCCUUAAGACACUAUUACUAGUGAUAUAACUCUGAGUAACUUUCUGGCCUUCUACAGGAUGACAUCAUUAAUUUCUACAUACUAACAACAGAACCAACAAGUUACGUUUUUUGACUGAAGCUGUCCACAAAGCAUGGAGAAACAGAACCCCAUUUCAUCCAAGUUUACUAAAGAAAAAUCAAUGACUGAAUGAAUUUUUACUUUAGGUAGGCCUUGCUGGCUCCUAGAGUAACUACAACAAAGCUCUCAGAGAAGGAGACUCAGCUGAUGUCGUCACACAGGCAGUUAGAAAGAGGUGCAUACACUAACCUCACCCCAUCUUCCCUGAAAUGUCAGCCAGGUGUAGUCAAACAAGUAUGGGAAUCUGAACAAGAACACCAGGCAAUGGAUUCUGGCUCUUCAACUUACUGAUUAUGAUAACCUUAGGCAAACACGUGUGUGAGCUUUAGUUUCUUCUCCUGCAAUAAGAGAAUAAAGCUACUGACCUAUCUCUUUAGAUUUCUAAAGCCAUCAAAUGUAUUUGUAAUUAUAAGCAUAAAUUAGUGGGGCUCUUUGUACUUGUCCUUUAAGCUUGUUCAAAAGCUAGUUUAGGCCAGGCACAGUGGCUCAUGCUGGUAAUCCUAGCACUUUGGGAGGCUAAGGUGGGUGGAUUACCUGAGGUUGGGAGUUCAAGACCAGCCUGGCCAACAUGGAAAAACCCUGUCUGUACUAAAAAUACAAAAAAAUUAGUGGGGCGUGGUGGCGCAUGCCUGUAAUCCCAGCUACUCAGGAGGCUGAGGCACGAGAAUUACUUGAGCCCGGGAGGCAGAGGUUGCAGUGAGUCAAGAUUGUGCCACUGCACUCCAGCCUGGUGACAGAGCAAGACUCUGUCUCAAAAAAAAAAAAAAAGGCUAGUUUAUUAGUCAACAGUUUUCCAUUCUUGCUCUGAGACAGACUACUGGAGACAGCAGUACAGAAAUAUUAGCAUGCCUUAUGUUUGAUUAACUAAGGCAAGCAUAACUCAAAGCUGCAAAGAAUCCCUUCCCAAAUUUGAGAAUGGUUUAAAAUCUUCCUUAUCACUUGGCUACUGCACCAAAUACAAAUGUAUCAACUUAGAAAAAUCCUAUACAGAUCAGAGUUGAAUGACAACUACCAAUUUCGUUGGGAAAAAUAUCCCUGCAUUCAAAAUGCUAAAAACCACACAUGAGGUUAACAACUGUUUAUAGUGCUACUCAAAGGGCUGGUCCUGGUAAGAUGUGGAUAAAUCAACGCACCACUUUCUUCACUGAGAGUUUUGCUACCAGGAAAAAAAAAAGUCACCAUCUGAAUUAACAGUGUGGUUAGUGGUGUAAUUUCUUUAUCUCAUUCCACACUGGUAAUUGACAGUUCACAGACUGGCAGCCAGUGCAGGCCCCACCUGAGGACAACAGUGGUACAGAAACAAAUGUUUUAAAAAAUGCGCUAAAGCUCAUCUAAUACCAAGAAAGCAGUCCAUUUCUCUGGAUAUCUCUACUAGAAAAAAGUUCUCUCUUUACGUUAGAAAGACUUAAUCAACCUGCUCUACAUUCAGAAAAGUCUAAAGAAAAAGAUGGCGUCUCAAUGAUCAGUGAUUAAUCUUUACUGUGGACUCUUAUCACUUCUUGAGGACGGUAAUAGCCACUCUGGAGACUUGCUUCCCUCCCCUCACCUCAAUUCUGUACUUAUUGCCUACUAUUAAUAUUAUACUUUUAACACUGACUUAAUCGUGUCAUUUCCCCUGUUCUCAAACCUCUCAAGUUCCAACCUACAAUCAAGCCUAGCAAGUAACAUCCACCACCACAUGGCCCCACCCUAAACUUUCUAUCUUCCUACCCUCGCUGGUAUAAUCCUACCCUCCUUUACAGACUUCUCUACUUAAGACUUAAACCUCCUCUGCCAGCAAUGCUUUUCCCUUCCAUAAACACAUGUUGAAAUCCUGAUUUGCCAUUUACAAAUGCUCUCCUUCCCUCCAGAUCUCUUAGUGUCCUUUCCCUUACACCUUCAUACACCCUCUUGCCACCUUGGUUCUUCCAUAGCAAUUUGUUCUUCUAUCUAAUCCUUGGCUUUCACUUUAUGUUACUGGUAUUAAUAUAUUUAUGGAUGAUAUGUUUGUGAUCUGCUUUAAAAUACUCCAGACUUCCCCUGGACUCAAAAGUGCAGGAAUGGGACAGAUAAAACAAGAUUGGGAAAACAGAGGUUCACUAUAGUACUCUUUCUACUUCAGUCCGUGUUUUUAAAUUUCCAUAAUAAAAAGUUGGGAAAAAAGAAUUAUUUCUCUACAAGCACCACUAUAGCAGGGACUACCUUAUUCAUCUCUAUAUCCUUUACAGAUCUUGGUAGAGUAAGAGAAGUUUACUCAAUUGUUGAGUUCAUCUCUAUUUCAUCCUUUCUCUCUCAUUCUGCUCAGUUUAUUCUGCAAGAAGCCUCCUGUUAUCCACCCCACCCAAGCCCUGGUGGGAAAUUUGGACCAUGAUGGUGGGGAUGGAAACCAAAGCAUUCCCUGAGAGUCUGUCCUUCUCUGAUAUGAACCCCAUAAAGCCUUAAGGUAGAUAGGAGUAAGUGAGGAUGUUCCUUGAGACAUAUCACACAAAAUUCACGAGUUGGGAUCCUACUACUUUUAGUAAGAAUAGCUAAACCCACCGUAUACAUAGGAAAUCACCAUUUCCCCCAAAUAUAAAGACAAUAUGUACUUAUAUCCUGAGAAGUGUGGGCUCUCAUUUUGAUAAAGGCAGUCAGUAAAAUUUUGCUAAAUACAAACUUUUGAAUUUCACUCACUUGUAAAAAAUUAGGACUGACUUAUGUAAUCUAAGCUUAUCUUACAGUCAUUAAACUGUGCAAUUCCCCAUACCAUUCAUCACUUUCAUGCUAUUGUCAUACUAAGUAUAGGAAGCUCCUAUGCCUCUGGUCAAUAAAUACUUUAGCCUAUCUAAGCAUGUGAGUAAGUACCACCAUUUGGCUAUUAGCCCAUCAAAAAUGUUAGCCUAUGAACACAGAACUGAAGUCAUAAAGAACACAUGGAGCUAAAGCACGUGAUGGAAGGCACAAUACAAAAAAAACCGAAGAAUCAGGUUUCAAUUCCAUAAGUCCCUUGGAGUAAGUGGCCACAGCCAAAUAAAAAGAUUAACUGUCUAGCUAGCCUUCAUUAAAUAUCUAAAGAUAAAUGUUAAACAGACAGGUAAAUGUGUAUAUAUACAAUAAUCCUUUCCUACAUAGCUCAAGAGUUAAGAAACAACCAGAAUAACAUCACAUCAUCUCUACCCUCAGUUUAUAUAUAUAUACACCUCUAUAUGUGUAUAUAUGUAUAUGCUCAUCCAUACCAUUCUCCUAAAAUUGUUUUCAAGUGAACCAAAGAAAUGUUGAAAGUUCUGUUUGUCCUCGACUUACAGCUUGUCCGUUGGCUUCAUAAAGUGGGCAUUUUUGCUUGAUCUUGGCCAGUUCCAUAUUUACUUGUUUGCUGACCACAGCCAUAGGAUUCCCUCCUAGAAAAAAACUCAAGCAAUUAAAUUCAAUAGACCUAUGAAGAGAGAACAAAAACCUUAAAGUAAAAAAUAUUUUUACUCAAAAUAUAAAAAGCUCAAAAGCUUACAGUAUGUAAUUAUUUCUCAAAAAAAAAAGCACUCUAAGUAAAAAUAUGUAAGACAAACAUGAAGGCAAAAAAAUUACCUAUAAUCCCACUAAUUAACAUUACAGAUUCUUCUAGAUUUUAAGUGUAUAAAAUUACAGACCCACACAAAAAAGUAUCAUAAUACGUAUUGUUUUAUAAUAUCUUUUCAACUUAGCAAUAUAUUGUGGACAUCGUUUUACGCUAAUACGGAGCUACAUGAUUUUUAGUGGCUGUAUAUUUCUCAUCGUAUAAUAUUCUAAUCUGUGGUUUCUAAUGUUCUGCUAUGAAAAACAAUACCAGGGAUGGGCAAGCUGGCUAAUGCCCACAACCUCAACCUUCUGGAAGGCUAAGGCAGAAGAAUCUCUUGAGGCCAGGAGUUCAACAUCAGCCUGGGCAACAGAGCAAGACCCUGUUUCUAUUAAAAACAAACAAGGCCGGGCGUUGUGGCUCAUAAAGCUACUAACCUAUCUCUUUAGAUUUCUAAAGCCAUGAAACGUAUUUGUAAUUACAAGCAUAAAUUAGUGGGGUUCUUUGUACUUGUCCUAUAAGCUUGUUCAAAAGCUAGUUUAAGCCAUACAUGGUGGCUCAUGCUGGUAAUCCUAGCACUUUGGGAGGCCGAGGUGGGUGGAUCACCUGAGGUCAGGAGUUUGAGACCAGUGCUGUAAUUCCAGCACUUUGGGAGCACUGCUUGAGCCCAGGAAUUCAGAUCAGCCUGGCAAUAUAGUGAGACCUCAUCUCUACAAAGAAUUAAAAAUUAACCAAGCAUGGUGGCCCAUGCCUGUACUCCAAGCUAUUAGGGAGGCUGAGGUGAGAGGAUCCUUUGAGCAUGGAAGGCAAAGGUUGCAGUGAGCUGAGAUCAUGCCACUGCAAUCCAGCCUGGGCAAAAGAGCGAGACCAUGUCUCGAAACAAACAAAAACAAUGCCACGUUAAUCAUGAGAUCAGGAGAUCGAGACCAUCCUGGCCAACAUAGUGAAACCUCGCCUCUACUAAAAUACAAAAAAUUAGCUGGGUAUGGUGGUGUGUGCCUGUAGUCUUAGCUACUCGGGAGGCUGAGGGAGGAGACUGCAGUGAGUGGAGGUCACGCCACUGCACUCCAGCCUGGGUGACAGAGCGAGACUCUGUCUCACAAAAAAAAAAAAAAAAAAAGCUUCAAACACAACAUUAUCUACUUAUCUUCAUAUGAUAAUUUCCUAGAACUAGAAAAAGGUACUCUAGGUCAAAAGAUAUGUACAAUUUACAUUUUCCACAUACUGCUAUACCUCUCACUAAACGGAAGAUGACUAUUCUAAACCAAUACAUUUUAAAAUAGCAUCUCUGGCUUUAAAUUUCUUUUAUGAGUCUUAGACCAUGUACUAUAUAGCACAAACCAAUAGCUACUUACCAAGACCUGUUACCACCAUGGCUCCAAGAUCAGCUACAUAGUUUCCUUUGCGAAAUGUGGCAACUCGUCCACCCACACGAUCCUGUUUCAGAAAUUAAGUAGCCAAAAUCAUCAAUUCUGUUUUAACCACAAACCUGGCAUAGUACCAUACCACGGCUCUGUCUUCUAUAAUUUAAAAAUAAAGAUGUAGAGUUUACAUGGAAUGCAAUCAACAGUACUAUGGGCACAAAGAACAAAUGAAGUUUAACUUGAAGACUAUUUGAAGGAGAAGCAGGCAACAAAUGACAUAUAAUUAAAUGUCAUAUAACUAAACGACACAGAAUUAAAUGAUGUGAUAUAAAACAGUCUUGACAGCUGGAAGAUAAAUUUAGUCACAGGUACCACUCUAUCCAGUUGUCUAUAAUACCUUUUAAUGUACAGGGCCACCCAUAUAGAAAAUAUUUGUUCACAAAUCCCAACACUAUUUAAACACCAACUUUCUACCACUGUAAUCUGACUCUUACACCCUGAUCCCCAAAGUUAGCGGGGAAAAAUCUGAUGGAUAAUUUUUCUGACAAAUGGUUCUCCAGUGCACCCCCAUGCCCAGGGGCAGAGAGUCCAUACUGAACAUAGCCUGUUCACAAUACCUUUUAUCCCUAAAUAGGCCCAGGUUUAUCACUGCUGACGAGGGAUUUUCAAGUAUGGCUGAGUUGUAGCGAUAAUUUAAUGAUUAUAAAUAAUGUAAGAGUACUCUGGAACUCCAAACAAACAAACAAAAAUGCAAACAAAACAAAAACCUACAUACUAGAUUACAAACUCCUCAUGGGUAGGAAUCAAAAUGGUCCUAUUAUUCCUUAUUGUAUUUUUUAAUACAAAAUGUACAAAGUGCACAAAGAUGUUUUCUAAAUAUAUAAAAUUUUUAAUAAUAGUAUAUCAGGAAAAUAUUUAAUUUCAAUUUCCCCAUACUCUUUUAAAAAAUUAGCAGUUCAAAGCCAUUAGAAGAUCAUUAGAUUUCAAAAAUUAUUCAUGAAAAUAGCUUGAAUAGUAGCAUCCUAAUAUGAUGCUCUUUUUCCUACUGUGUGCCAUUAUCCCUUAUUGCUCCUCCUGUUUCCAUUUCUCUCUCUAGGACUAACAGGAAAAAAACCAGUAUCUUGGCUUCUAAAAGAUGGUUCCUGCCUGAGAAGCAGCUUUUUUUCUUUAUCAAAAACAGGGAAUUCACUCUGUUCCACCAUCAAAAAUAACUGCCUCCUAACAAAGGAUAUGUCCAUGAAGGCCCCAAAUUUGAGAGCUAACUACAAGAAAUAAUGAUCUGAAAAUAUCAGUCAGGAAAAGAAAUACUCUAAAACCCUCUUCACAGAGUACUUUUCAAAGCAUUCAUUAAAAAAAAAAGCUUUUUAAAAAUAUAAAUAACACUAUCCAAAAUACUCUGAGUAUUAUACAAAUCAAUUUAGCUUAGUUCAAGUUGUAUAAUUCUUUAAUUUGCAACAGAUAAUUUGCUUACCAUAUUUCCAAUAGGUCAAGCCUCUAAACUCAAAAUGAAAUUCUUACCCUGG
rnacentral:lncRNA from 10 species